rnacentral:rRNA from 1 species
AACAUAACCUUUAGCCAGACAAGUAUUAAAGGCAACGCCUGCCCAGUGAAAAUUAAACGGCCGCGGUACCCUAACCGUGCAAAGGUAGCAUAAUCAUUUGUCUAUUAAUUGUAGACCUGUAUGAAAGGCAAAAUGAGAGCCCAACUGUCUCUUAUAACAAAUCAAUUAAACUGAUCUCCUAGUACAAAAGCUAGAAUACCAACAUAAGACCAGAAGACCCUGUGAAGCUUUAACUAACCUAUUAAAUCCAAUAAUGGCUACUUUCGGUUGGGGCGACCUUGGAAUAAAAAAGAACUUCCAAUAACAUGACUUCUCAUAAAAUAGGCAGACAAGCCAACACUAGAUCCAGUAUUACUGACAAUUGAAAUAAGUUACUCCAGGGAUAACAGCGCUAUCUUCUUUAAGAGCCCAUAUCAAAAAGAAGGUUUACGACCUCGAUGUUGGAUCAGGGCACCCCAGUAAUGCACCCGUUACUAAAGGUUCGUUUGUUCAACGAUCAACAGCCCUACGUGAUCUGA